GCCUGCCUGCAGAGGCCUCGAUGGUGGGGCCCUGCUCCAGCAGCUUUCAUGGAAGGGCUCGUCCCUAGUCAGGAACAGAUGGCUUCCUCAGAGAAACAAUAGUUUGCAUAGGGGCUCAAUAAACCUUGCGGCCUUCUGCCAAGGACUUUCUGGAACCGGAUGACCUCUUGUUCCCUGAGGUCCUGAGUUGCUGUCCCUCCAUUUCCAGCCCAUCGCUCCCCUCUUCCAUCCUCUCUAGGUUUCUGGCAACACUGCUCAGGACCUAGCAGGAGACAGGAGGGUGAACAACAACCUGGCUGCCCUCAGCUCAUGAAGGAGGCAAAGAGCCUUCUGGAAGGGUCAACAACACCGUCCCAGGCCUUAUCUAUGAUGAGUAACAUCGCAGGACCCUGUGGCUACUGGGAAAGCUGAGCUAUUGGAAAGAGAGAAGGUCUGGAAUAAGCCUUCUAGGGUGGAACUCUCAGGUUCAUUUUCCUGAAUUCAUUGGCAAAAGCAGAAUGACACACAAUGGUUGGGACCUCUCAGGACUGCUAUCACCAGACUGGUUGGCUUAAACA